rnacentral:rRNA from 1 species
UACGAAGGGGGCUAGCGUUGCUCGGAAUGACUGGGCGUAAAGGGCGCGUAGGCGGACGGCUUUGUCGGGCGUGAAAUUCCAGGGCUUAACCUUGGGGCUGCGUUCGAGACGGGUUGUCUAGAGUUUGGAAGAGGGUCGUGGAAUUCCCAGUGUAGAGGUGAAAUUCGUAGAUAUUGGGAAGAACACCGGUGGCGAAGGCGACUCACUGGACACGUAUUGACGCUGAGGUGCGAAAGCGUGGGGAGCAAACAGG